UACGAAGGGGGCUAGCGUUGUUCGGAAUCACUGGGCGUAAAGCGCACGUAGGCGGAUCUUUAAGUCAGAGGUGAAAUCCCAAGGCUCAACCUUGGAACUGCCUUUGAUACUGGGGAUCUUGAGUCCGGGAGAGGUGAGUGGAACUGCGAGUGUAGAGGUGAAAUUCGUAGAUAUUCGCAAGAACACCAGUGGCGAAAGGCGGCUCACUGGCCCGGUACUGACGCUGAGGUGCGAAAGCGUGGGGAGCAAACAGG
rnacentral:rRNA from 1 species